rnacentral:rRNA from 1 species
ACGGAAGGCAGCAGUGGGGAAUAUUGCACAAUGGGCGAAAGCCUGAUGCAGCGACGCCGCGUGAGUGAAGAAGUAUCUCGGUAUGUAAAGCUCUAUCAGCAGGGAAGAAAAUGACGGUACCUGACUAAGAAGCCCCGGCUAACUACGUGCCAGCAGCCGCGGUAAUACGUAGGGGGCAAGCGUUAUCCGGAUUUACUGGGUGUAAAGGGAGCGUAGACGGUUUGGCAAGUCUGAAGUGAAAUGCGGGGGCUCAACUCCUGAACUGCUUUGGAAACUGUCGAACUAGAGUGCAGGAGAGGUAAGUGGAAUUCCUAGUGUAGCGGUGAAAUGCGUAGAUAUUAGGAGGAACACCAGUGGCGAAGGCGGCUUACUGGACUGUAACUGACGUUGAGGCUCGAAAGCGUGGGGAGCAAACAUGAUUAGAUACCCUGGUA